AGCAUGAACUUAGCUUGCUAAGUUUGAUGGCGACCGGCGCACGGGUGCGUAACGCGUAUGCAACCUACCUUUAACAGGGGGAUAACCUUGCGAAAGUAAGACUAAUACCCAAUGAUAUCUCUAGAAGACAUCUGAAAGAGAUUAAAGAUUUAUCGGUGAUGGAUGGGGAUGCGUCUGAUUAGCUUGUUGGCGGGGUAACGGCCCACCAAGGCAACGAUCAGUAGGGGUUCUGAGAGGAAGGUCCCCACAUUGGAACUGAGACACGGUCCAAACUCC
rnacentral:rRNA from 1 species